rnacentral:misc_RNA from 1 species
ACUGAGGAAGGGGACUAUCAGGUAAAACUUCGCAACCUGAAACGUUUCCUGGAAAAGGGCGAUCGGGUCAAGGUCACCAUCUGGUUCCGUGGCCGCGAGCUGGCUCACAAGGAGCUGGGUCUGAAAAUGCUCGAACGCGUUCAGCAGGACGUGGAGGAGUUGGGCACAGUGGACCAAAUGCCGAAGAUGGAAGGUCGGCAGAUGCACAUGAUGGUGGUCCCGAAAAAGUAGGAAAAGCGGCUUGACCGUGAUUCUGGCGCCGCGAACGCGGUGACUGGAGCAGCUGUCCUCAGUGCUGCAACAGAAAAGGCGCUGCCAAGUUGGCAGCAA